UGGGGAAUAUUGCACAAUGGGCGCAAGCCUGAUGCAGCAACGCCGCGUGAACGAUGAAGGUCUUCGGAUCGUAAAGUUCUGUUGCAGGGGAAGAUAAUGACGGUACCCUGUGAGGAAGCCCCGGCUAACUACGUGCCAGCAGCCGCGGUAAUACGUAGGGGGCUAGCGUUAUCCGGAUUUUCUGGGCGUAAAGGGUGCGUAGGUGGUCUUUCAAGUCGGUGGUUAAAGGCUACGGCUCAACCGUAGUUAGCCUCCGAAACUGGAAGACUUGAGUGCAGGAGAGGAAAGUGGAAUUCCCAGUGUAGCGGUGAAAUGCGUAGAUAUUGGGAGGAACACCCGUAGCGAAGGCGGCUUUCUGGACUGCAACUGACACUGAGGCACGAAAGCGUGGGUAGCAAACAGG
rnacentral:rRNA from 1 species